rnacentral:lncRNA from 1 species
AAUAAAACAUGCCUUUUAUGGUAGCAUAAUGAGUUUGUUAUUGUUAUUUAUAAAUCAAUAAAUCAACAUUUUGAAAUUUUCUAUUUUCAUUUCAAAUAUGGUAAAUUUUGAAAAAUAUUUACCCACAUGAACAAAAAGCUUUUGGGGGCCGUAAAUAAUUGUUAGAGUGUAAAAAGAUCCUGAGAUCAAGAAAUUCAAAGCCAAAAAAACCCAAAAAACAAAAAGCAAAAGAAAGGAGUUCCCACUGUGGUGCAGUGGAAAUCCGACUAGGAAGCAUGAGGUUGCAUGUUCGAUCCCUGGCCUCACUCAGUGGGUUAAGGAUCCAGCAUUGCCAUGAGCAGUGGGGUAGGCCUCAGACGCGGCUCAAAUCUGAUGUUGCUGUGGCUGUGGUGUAGGCCAGCAGCUACAGCUCCAAUUCGACUCCUAGUCUGGAAACCUCCAUGUGCUAAGAACCAAUGAUGUAGAGGAAGAGAUUCUGGAGCAAACCCUAAGAAGUGGUACGGCUGAGUGAUGUAGGAUUUCUAAUGAUCGGUCAACAUUUGUAUAUCCCAUUUACCUCAGACUCAUAUGACAAGUGUAAUAAUUGCUGGGUUUAUGAUAAUGAAAAUAAAAAUGGGAAAAUCCUGCUAGGAACUCUCCUUGUAGCUUUAUUUUGCAAGCAGGGGCAUGCAUUUCUUUUGGGUAGACACCUGGAGCAAAAUUGCCGGCUAAAGAGGAAUGUUAUGUUCAACAUUGAUGGAUAAAGUCAAACUGUGUUUGAAGUGGUUAAACCUGUUAAUACUGUCACCCAGUAUUUGAGACUGUCUGUUGCUCUGCCUGGUUUGAAUACAUAGAACUGAAAGCAAAGCAGAUCCAUCAACAGUGAAAGGGAUGACUAAGAGGUGGUCCAUUAUUGCACAAUGGGAUGUCUUACAGCGUUGGAAAUGAAAACUGGGGGUUCGGGUCACAAGAUGCAUGAAUCUCAAAACAUGAUUUUUUAAAAAAAUUUAUGGCUGCGUUGCAGCUGCUGACCUAUGCCACAGCUGUGGCAACAUCAGAUCCUUUAACCCACUACACCAGGCCAGAUAUUGAACUUGCACCGCUGCAGCAACCCAAGAUGCUGCAGUAGGAUUCUUAACCCACUGCACCACAGCAGGGACUCCUUAAAGCAUAAUGUCAAAUAAAUAAAGCAAGACAUAAAGUAAAGCA